rnacentral:tRNA from 1 species
CUUUAAGAAGCUAAUAGCAGCACCGGCCUUUUAAGCCGGAGAUGAGCCUAAACCCCUCCUUAAAGA